CCUACAGUGAGGUAAAUGCUAUCUGAAUUAUCCAUAUGUCAUGCUUGAUUUUUUCCCCAUUAAAAUAAAUGUGGAAAUUUACCUUACAGACAUUCUAAAUGUCACCUGGAAACAACAGUGCUGUGAGUGAGACAGAGGCAGAAAGGGCAGGUUAAGCAACUCUUCCUGGAGAUGUCUUAUGAUUAAAAUAUACCAUGAAACUAUGGAAGAGAGAAAGUGAGAUCAUAUUUGCGGAUAUUUACUACUUCAACCCUCUACGAGCUCUGAGAAACAUUUGUAUCGGGAUGAGAAGACAUUUCUACAGUUCAAAGCAUCCUACUGACAAGCAGCUCAUCCUGAUGAUGUAUAUAUUUAUUUUUUAAACACUCGCUGCCUGUGUCAAAUGUAUGUACACUGAUUCUCUCCCCUUCCAUUCAAAUGCUUUUUGUUUGUUACAUGAAAAGAUACAAUCUUGUAUAUUGUCAUCUUCUGUAAAGCAGUAGAUUUUUCUAGGUAAAACUGAUCUCCCAACUUCCUUUCCUAACUAUUUUCCUAUAACUAAAUAUUGGAAUGUAUGAAAGCACUUCCACAGUUGUCACAAAUGACUGUAAACCAGUAUCAAAAAUACCUCUAACUGCCACCCAAAAGGGCAAACUCUAAUCUACUGUCAUAUGUAGUGUUGAAACUGUUGAGUAACUUUAUUAAAAUUAAUGGAAUAUUUUUAUCCACUCCUAAGCAAGUAGGAGUAAAAUACAAUUUGAAAUUGAAUUCUGAGAAGCAGAGGAAUGUAGAAAACACUUCCAUUCACAUUUGAAUAUUUCCAAGUGAUCAGGAGAAGGUGUACAGUCUUCAAAAGGCAUAACAGAUCUAAGUUCCAAAGAGAGUAACACAUAAUAUGAAAAGACAGUCCCAAAUUUCACUCGCAGUAAUGACUUGUUUAUUUUUCCAUCUCUUCUGGGUCACUAAAUACUAAAGAAAGUGGUGGUCUGAAGAAUAUAAAAAAAGAAAAAUAUUCAAAAUACCCCCAAUAGAAAAAUGAAACUUUUACUGCCAAGUAUUAAUCUAUCUCUAGAUUCUGCAGCUCUUGAUCUUAUGUGUUAUUUCUUAUGAAUCCUCUUAGAGAUAUGGAUUGAAAGAUAACUUUAAGCAAAUGAUCACAGAAUGUUGGCAAUAGUAAUUAU
rnacentral:lncRNA from 1 species